CAGAUACUUCCUCUAGUAUUUUAUUAAAAAAUACUGAGUCUCUGUGAUAUCUCUUAUUUCAUGACAACGUAGUUUGCAAUUUGCCUAGUCUCACACCUGGGAAGAAGCAAGGGCAUUUUAUUGUAUCAGAGCAAACAUUCAUGUAAAAAGCAGGAGAAAAAAGACCUUUCACUUUUAACCAUGAACAAGUUCUCACCCUCCCUGUGCAUCUAGUUUUCAGGUGAAGAUGAGUUGACCGAAGUGCAUGUGGCUGAUCCAGCUGUUGCACCCUCCAUCCAGUAUAACUUUUGUGCCGUUGCCUUUGGUGCAACCCCUUGACAUGAAACCACAGUUCUUCCAAUAAGCAGAGUGAAUGUGAACACAUGUUGGCAGAACUGUGCCAUUUACAAAGGAAGUGGUGAGAUAUUACUGAGGAAAAGCUAGACAAUGCUGCACCAGCAAUCUGAUCCCGCUCAUUCUUUCUCCAAAAUGUAGUUUCCAACUCUGCAGGAGUAGUGGCUGUGAAAUACAUGGGAAAGAGUUUGAAAAGUAUGUAUCCCACAUUUCACAGCACUUUCCAGGAUUUUACAUUUCAGUAUAGACAAAAGUAAGUGUAUAAUGCUUGUAAAUAAAAUUUACAAACCAAACAGAAUUUUGCCAAACAAGAAAGUUGUUUCCCUUACAACAGCCCAACUUGUGAUUUCAUUAACAAAACUGAUAUGUUAGUUCAAAUCAAAUAUCUCAUAUCAUUAAACCAUCCACAAGCAAAUUUGUUUUACAUUAACAGUUGAGUAACCCUGCAGAGAGUGCAAGUUCAGGGGAACAGAAAGUGAAAAUAUAGUCUUACCAGCAUGAUUUAAAUUAAUUAAACAAGCAUUAGUACCUUCAAGCAGUUACACACUAUUACUUUAAGUCUUUGGUGGGGAAAGCUAUGAUUUACAUGUUCAAUCAUUUUAAUACUUUCUAUGAACCAGAUGUUACAGUAGCUUUGUUAGCUGAUGCCAUAAACAAAAGAUACAGUUGAAAACACAUGCUAUAAUAAUUAAAAUGUUAUUAUGCUGACACCAUCUUUCUUCUAGGAUCUUGUAACAUCUGUAUUGACUGUGAUAAGCAUUGAUUAUCUGGAAUGAUGUAAAAUAUUUGGGGAGUUAAUAACAAUCAGGAAUUCAGUACAUGCUAAGACAGCAAAGAUAAAUCACAGGAAAUACAGAUCAAAGCAGUUCAAAAACAUUAAUGGCUAGCCGGGCACGGUGGCUCAGGCCUGUAAUCCCAGCACUUUGGAAGGCCGAGGUGGGAGGAUCACAAGGUCAGGAGAUCAAGACCAGCCUGGCCAAUAUGGUGAAACCCCAUCUCUACAGAAAAUACAAAAAUUAGUUGGGCAUGGUGGUGCACACCUGUAAUACCAGCUAUUCAGGAGGCUGAGGCAGGAGAAUUGCUUGAACCCGGGAGGUGGAGGUUCCAGUGAACUGAGAUUGCGCCAUUACACUCCAGCCUGGGCAACAGAGCAAGACUCCAUCUCAAACAAAACAAAACAAAAAAGAGAAAAGAAAAGAAAACAUUAAUGGCUGUAUAAUAUUCCAUGAACUAUUUUCAUGCCAUGUUACCACCAGAGAGACUGCGCCAAUUUACUUCCCCACAAGCAGUACAAAAUGACAUCUUUCCAAAUGUUUGCUACCACAAAGUAUUCUCUUUUUCCUAGUAUUUGGUAAGUUGGUAAGUAGAAAGAGUUAUAUUGUGGCUGUUUGAGUUUACAAUUCUUUGUGCUGAAUGUUUUUCCCUAAUUUACUUUCCUGUCAAUAUCUUCUACUGGUCUUGUCUAACCCUACCUUUGCCCACUUUCUUUUUUCCUUUUAGCAUUUUGAUGUUUCUGCUAAUUCACUUUCAUGAGGUCUUUUUAUGUUUUAUAUAUUAGCCCUUGUUCUGUCCAACACAGAUGAUAAAUUUCUUACUUUUUGGCUUUUUAAUUUGUUUUCAAGAAUGAUGCAUUUUUAUUUCCACUAAGUAAAAUCUAGCCAUUUUUACUCAUUAUUUACCCUUAUGUUAUUUGGACCCAUUGAUCAGGCUGGUGAUUCUGACACCAGAACCACAUAAUUGUUAUUAUCUAGUACGAAAUGUUCUACCUCAUAUUCCUCUUUUUCAAAUUUUCAUGCCU
rnacentral:lncRNA from 1 species